GGAAAUGGCAAGACCCCAGAAAUGGACAGAUAGAAGGAAAGACGGCUGCUAAGCAGACAUUAUGCUACACAGAGUCCAGGCCAGCCCAUGUCGCAGAGCGGUUACUUACAUUAAGAAAGGAUUCUGUGUCAAGUGUUUGAGUUAAUUUCUACCUCUUAGGAUCGAGGAAGUAGGGUUUAAUAUUUCCAUGUAGGGAGAGGAACACCCAGGCUCAGGGAAGUAACUGACCUACUCUCGCGUGGUUCCAGAGGUGGAUUUUCGGACACCAAAGUCGCUCUCCCACCCUGAAGGUCCCAUUCAAGCCAGAGCCGGAGUGUAAGGUCAUGGAUUCUCCCACUCGCUUGCCCUAGGGGUUAAAUUGUACACUGCCCCUGUUAAGGCAUAUCCAGGACUUUAAAGGUCUCCCUGUUGGCCAACACUAACCUGGGAUGGUGAAGUCAGGAUAAUGAAUUCCCUUCACUUACCCUUCAGAAGCACGUUUUAUUCAGCAGUUUCAGAAGUGAAUCCCACUGAACCUUACUGGUUGGAGAAUUCUAUUGUUUCAAAACUUCUCUAAAGAGCAUAGAGAAGGAGAAACUCUUCUAUAUUAUUCCGGUAAUUUGUAUAUCAAUGAUAACCAGAUACAAUCACCAUAAUCUAAGGAAAUCUCAGGAGUGGCUUCUGGAAGGUGAUUUGAUCAAGGUGGCUUAUACUAUUACUAAUGAAUUCAGCAACUGAGUGGGCAGAUGGGAGCUGGUCACUGACUGAGAAGACUUUAUCCCCCCACCCCUCCCCAGAUCCUCCCUCCUUUCUCUGCUUUCUGGCUCCCAUGAUGUG
rnacentral:lncRNA from 1 species